CGAGUACGACUAUAAUCUUUCGUGGGGUAGUCGGAUAGUCGCUCUACGUGAGAGGAAAGUCCGGGCUUCACAGGGCAAGAUGCUUCCUAACAGGAAGCCCCGCACCUAUGGUGCGGGGGGAAAGUGCCACAGAAAACAUACCGCUCUGCACCAUAGGUGUGGGGUAAGGGUGAAAAGGCGAGGUAAGAGCUCACCGCCCUGAUGGCGACAUCAGGGGCUUGGCAAACCCCAUCUGAAGCAAAACCAAGUAGUUCCGGUCGAAGCGGCCCGCUUUCCCCCGCACUUUUGGUGACACAUGAGAUCGAUGGAAACGGUGCGUAUAGGAAAUGUUGAAGUCCUUCAGAGAACUGGAAGGCAGCAUUCUCGGUGA
rnacentral:RNase_P_RNA from 1 species